rnacentral:rRNA from 1 species
CCUACGGGAGGCUGCAGUCGAGAAUCAUUCACAAUGGGGGAAACCCUGAUGGUGCGACGCCGCGUGGGGGAAUGAAGGUCUUCGGAUUGUAAACCCCUGUCAUGUGGGAGCAAAUUAAAAAGAUAGUACCACAAGAGGAAGAGACGGCUAACUCUGUGCCAGCAGCCGCGGUAAUACAGAGGUCUUAAGCGUUGUUCGGAAUCACUGGGCGUAAAGCGUGCGUAGGCUGUUUCGUAAGUCGUGUGUGAAAGGUGCGGGCUCAACCCGCGGACGGCACAUGAUACUGCGAGACUAGAGUAAUGGAGGGGGAACCGGAAGUCUCGGUGUAGCAGUGAAAUGCGUAGAUAUCGAGAGGAACACUCGUGGCGAAGGCGGGUUCCUGGACAUUAACUGACGCUGAGGCACGAAGGCCAGGGGAGCGAAAGGGAUUAGAUACCCGAGUAGUC